rnacentral:tRNA from 3 species
GCUCCCUUCGUCUAGAGGCCUAGGACGUGGCCCUCUCAAGGCUAAAACAGGGGUUCGAAUCCCCUAGGGAGCGCCA